rnacentral:lncRNA from 1 species
AUUUGGGUGUCAUUAUUUCUUUACUAGACACUUUGACUCUCUUUAAAAAAACUAGAUGCUAAUGAUUCUUCUAUAAAAAGUACUCAAAAUAUUCAAAUUUUAUUUUCGAACUUGUCCUCUUAAUUAAUGUAACUAAUAAAUAAAAUAUAAAAAGUUACAUAAAAAAUUUAUGAAAAUGUUGAUAAUUGUUACUGUAUGUUUUUUUAAAGUACUUUUAAUACUAGUGAUGAAAUUAUAUUACAUUAACAUACUUUUUUUUCAAUUAGAAUUUUUUUAAAAUAAAUUAAAGCGGUAAUCACAUUUUAGACUCCUAAUGUUUUCAAUCUAUUCAAUAAAUAUUAUAAUUUAAUCAUUUUAUAAAAUAAGUCACUAAUUUCAAUUGGAAAAAAAAUAUAAUUGAAUUAGGCACAUAUUUGAAAAUAAAAUAAAUCUACUGUAAUAUGAAAUUGAUGAAAUAUAAGGGCAACUGAAUAGGGACAAAUAUAAAAACAAAAUAAAAACUCUAUUCAUAUAUAAAAUUAAUCAAAAAAUAAGAGGGAAGAAUUAUUUUCUAGACUCUAGCCCAGCAGCAGGUCCGCAACAACUGACAUGGAGCAAAACACCAAUCGCAAAAAAUAUAUUAAAUGCACUGUUAAUUUUAACAGUGCUCUCAUGCUACGAAUACGAUCCCAAGGCGUACUUUAUUAUUAUCUUUCUAAAUACUAAGUGUUGUUUUAACCGGCCUUUCCCUUUUAUCAAGUUUUCUUGGAUAUCAUUCUCCAUCUCUCUCUCUCUCUCUCUUUUGUUUUCCUUAGUUAAUUUGAUGUGUUUCAAUUUUCAAACGCAAAUGACUGAAAGUGUUAGAUCUUGAAAUUUUCUUUCCUAUCUCUUUUUUCAAAUUUUAUUCAUUUGCAUGCACAUCUGUUAUGAAGUAAUAGAUCCGAGAAUUUCUUUUCUGCUCUUCCUUUUUUUUUUCUUUUAAAAAAUACGUUAAUUAAUGAAAACGCCCAUGUGUGAAGAAUUUGAUCCAGGAUUUUUCCAAUUAUUUUUACUUGUUUAUUCAUUGGAUUCUUAAUUCUUUCUUUCUUAUUUUUCGUUUUUGGUGUGAUAAACAUGCAUAAUGCAUUUAUCAACAUUACAUGCAUUUCAUCACGAGCUUACUGUGGAUUUCUACUAGUACGUACGUUUUAAUUAUAAUUAAUCAAUGUGCUCAAAAAGCUGUUUUCCUUUUCAGAUACUUAUAAAUUCCUAAAGAUUACGCAUUUGCUUUCAAAAUUCUCUAAAAAGUUCCAUAUCAGCUGCUGUGUCUGCUUUGUUUACUUACGAUUUUACCCUCAUUUUUUAUUUUUGAUCGUGUGAUUAAUGUGUUCUGUUAAUUUGCUUAAAUUAUUCAGCAUAUUCGGAUUUAGUAUAAGUAAAUUCUCCAAGAUUAUUAUUACUAAUAUUUUUUUUAUUUGAUAAACGAUUAUUUAAAAAAGUAAGAAAUGGAGGUAAUUUAUGUGGUCUAAGAAACUCAUACUUUUAAAUUUAUGGGGUAAAUGAUCCUUCAGCAUUUCUUUCUUUUUUUCUUGGGAAUAAAUCCUUUACGUUGCAAUUAGUUUAAUUCCCAAUGCAAUAUUUGAUUUUGUAAAAGCCUUUGUAUCUAAAAAAAUUACUUAAAACAUCUUUGUUAUCGGUGGUGGAGCCAAGAAUUUUCUGUGGUGAGGCAAAAUGAUACAAUAUUAUUUUAUAUAUAUUUAAGAAAAUAUUAAUAUUUAAAACUAGGAAAUUUCAAAACAUAUAAAAUAAAUCAUUCAAAUUUCAGUUUCCAUACAUCUAUAGUGAAAUCACAAUUAUUACAAUUCCGAAGUAAUUUACAGUAGAAUUGUGUCUGACUACAAAAUUUAGAAUCAUAUUCCAUAUAAAAUUCUGUAGUUCAACUUUUUACGGCUUUACUAAAGCUUCCAAAUUUUGGGGGGUUUUUUCUUAUAUUGCCUUAAUAUAAGAGAUGAAAUAGGGUAUCAAAAUCUACCAGGGAUCUGACUGAUAAAAAUUAAAUCUAAUUAGAUUGGAUUUGGGUCCAUGUAAAAUGGAUUUGAUUUGAAUUUGGUUAUCGAUACAUAGAUCUAAGUCAGAUUUGGAGUAGGCUUGAAGUUAUCUCAAUAUCUAGAUUCAAAUCCAUAUCCACUUUCCGUUUAGUUUAAUUUUAUUUUAAAAAUUUCUUAAUAAUUGUGUGAUUAUAAAUGAUAAUAAAACUUAUUCAUAGCAUAUUAGUGGUACUUAGAAUUUAUUUAAGAAUUUUAAAAUUUAAAGGUUAGUUUUGUAAAUUUAAAUGAUAAUAAGACAAAAAUAAUUAAGUAUAGAGUAAAAUUAGGAUAGCCGGCCUUUUUUUUUUGUGGUAAAUAUUUCACUCUUCAGUUCAAUCUCUUUCUUUCUUUUCAGUCUAUACUCUCGCUUCUCUGCUUGAUUUUAAAAUGCUUGGAUCAGUCUUUUAAUUGUUAGGUAAAUCUCUAGACAUGAGUUUCCUUUUAUGUUAUGAGAAAUUAUCACUCGUAUACUCUAAAUUUGCGCUUUUAUCAAAAAUACUACAACACUUUAAGGAUGUAUCCAUUGUCCACCCUAAAUUAACAAAAGUUGUCCACCGACCACUAAACCAUUAGCUACCGUUUGAAAGUUAACGGAACUGUAGUGAAUUGACGAUUUUACCCUUGAAAAUUAUCACUGGUAUACCCUUAAAAUAUCUUAUUAUCACUUAUAUAUCCUUAAAUUAUCACUUAUAUCAUAUCAAAAGACCAUAUUACCCUUCUGACGUCAUCAUAUUUAAACGGCAACUAACAGUUUGGUGGACAGCAUAUAUAUUUUAUCAACUUAGAGUGGACGACUGAUAUACAAUAAAAUUGUUGUAAUAAAUUUGAUAACGGAAUAAACUAAGGGUAUACAAUUGAUAAUUUCCCUUAUGUUAUUUUCUCAUAAUCUUAUAUUUGUUGUGUAAUCACUAAUUAGUGGUAGCUAGCUACCAUAAAAUAAUUAUGUUAAUUACAUAAUUAGUUAAAUAUGGUCAUAACAAAAAUAUUAAGCACUAUCACUGAAUAUAAAUCAUAUUUAACUUAUAUGUCAUUAUUUAAUAUUAUAAGAAUGAUAAUAGUGUGCUUGGGUAUCAGGAUAGUGAAGGUGACAUUAGAAUAUUACAAUAAUCUUAUUCCAGCAAUUACUUAUGAUGAAUAUUUUAUUAUCUUUCUUAUUUGUUUGUUUGGUGUAAAAGCAUAAGCUACAAUAUUUCUUAUAUUUCGAGACAAAUUAUAUAAUUUAAUUAUUAUCAAUACAUUUUACUCUUUAAUUUUCUUU